rnacentral:rRNA from 1 species
UACGUAGGGUGCAAGCGUUGUCCGGAAUUAUUGGGCGUAAAGAGCGUGUAGGCGGCCCGAUUAGUCCGCUGUGAAAGUCCAGGGCUCAACCCUGGAAUGCCGGUGGAUACUGUCGGGCUAGAGUCCGGAAGGGGCGAGUGGAAUUCCUGGUGUAGCGGUGAAAUGCGCAGAUAUCAGGAGGAACACCGGUGGCGAAGGCGGGUCUCUGGGCCGAUACUGACGCUGAGGAGCGAAAGCGUGGGGAGCGAACAGG